CACAAGCGGUGGAGCAUGUGGUUUAAUUCGAUGAUACGCGAGGAACCUUACCGUGGGACUUAAAUGGGGAGGUGACAGCUGUCGAAAGAUGGUUUUCUUCGGACACUCUUCAAGGUGCUGCAUGGUUGUCGUCAGCUCGUGCCGUGAGGUGUCGGGUUAAGUCCCAUAACGAGCGCAACCCUUACCGUUAGUUACCAUCAGGUUAAGCUGGGGACUCUAGCGGGACUGCCACCGUAAGGUGAGAGGAAGGUGGGGAUGACGUCAAAUCAGCACGGCCCUUAUGUCCAGGGCUACACACGUGUUACAAUGGCCGGUACAAAGGGCAGCUACUUCGCGAGAAGAUGCUAAUCUCGAAAGCCGGUCUCAGUUCGGAUCGAAGUCUGCAACCCGACUUCGUGAAGCUGGAUUCGCUAGUAAUCGCGCAUCAGCCAUGGCGCGGUGAAUACGUUCCCGGGCCUU
rnacentral:rRNA from 1 species